ensembl:lncRNA
GGCUCUGGGGACGGUCUGUGGUGUAGAGGGCUCUGGGGACGGUCUGUGGUGUAGCUCUGGGGGACGGUCUGUGGUGUAGAGGGCUCUGGGGGACGGUCUGUGGUGUAGAGGGCUCUGGGGCCGGGUCUGAACCAGGGCCGGUCUGAACCAGGACCCCCCUGGGCCGGUCUGAACCAGGACCCCCCAGGGCCGGUCUGAACCAGGACCCCCCAGGGCCGGUCUGAACCAGGACCCCCCUGGGCCGGUCUGAACCAGGACCCCCCAGGGCCGGUCUGAACCAGGGCCGGUCUGAACCAGGACCCCCAGGGCCGGUCUGAACCAGGACCCCCAGGGCCGGUCUGGACCAGGACCCCCCAGGGCCGGUCCAAAGGGGUCCGUUUGAGAGCCCUCGACCAAGGAGGUGAAUCGUACCAGAGGUACAGUGUACACUGUACCAGCGGUAACCCGUACCAGAGGUACACUGUACCAGAGGUAACCCGUACCAGAGGAACACUGUACCAGCGCUACACCAUACCAGUGUGUGCCUUUUCCCAGAAGCUUGGACCUGAGGCAGCAGCCGGUUGGAGGUCUGUAGGUCCAGAGACAAACACUCUGACACGCCCACACGGUGAGCUCAGCCCGUGAGAGGACCUUUCCAUUGAAGUAGAACGCAUACAUCUUCAGGAAUAGAUGGGGAAAUGGACAAAACAUUAUUUUUAAUAAUUGCCAAACACAAAUUCACCCGUCUUUAGAUGACGGUAAACUGAACCCCGACCGGGUUGAGUCGGGGUUCAGAGAAGCCCUCACGUUACGGAGCAGCGCUGAGACCUGCCUUACUGAUUGUGACUCCUAACAGAAAUGAAACAAUGUGAUAUUUGCACCCUUUAAUGUGAUAUGAUUAACCAUUUAGCGUGAAUAUUGGUUAUCUUUUGUAACAAAUUGUACUGCUUUUAUACAAAUGAGACUCAAGCACAUGUGGAAACGCAAAUAACUUUUUAGCGGUGCCUCUGAAUAGAGGAGGCAUUAUGGUGUGUAUUUAUGGACUAAUGUUUACUCACUGUGUAUAAUGACAAUAAUAAAGAGUGAUUUUAAGGCUU